AUUGAACGCUGGCGGCAUGCCUUACACAUGCAAGUCGAACGGCAGCACGGGUGCUUGCACCUGGUGGCGAGUGGCGAACGGGUGAGUAAUACAUCGGAACAUGUCCUGUAGUGGGGGAUAGCCCGGCGAAAGCCGGAGUAAUACCGCAUACGAACUACGGAUGACAGCGGGGGACCUUCGGACCUCGCGCUAUAGGGUUGGCCGAUGGCUGAUUAGCUAGUUGGUGGGGUAAAGGCCUACCAAGGCGACGAUCAGGAGCUGGUCUGAGAGGACGACCGGCCACACUGGGACUGAGACACGGCCCAGACUCCUACGGGAGGCAGCAGUGGGGAAUUUUGGGCAAUGGGCGAAAGCCUGAUCCAGCAAUGCCGCGUGUGUGAAGAAGGCCUUCGGGUUGUAAAGCACUUUUGUCCGGAAAGAAAUCCUUGGCCCUAAUACGGUCGGGGGAUGACGGUACCGGAAGAAUAAGCACCGGCUAACUACGUG
rnacentral:rRNA from 1 species